UUUGUGGGGAAUGUUGGCUGGCUCGAGGCUUUCAUACAUAAUGACCAAAGUGAAAGGGGCAAACAGAGAGUAUGUAAGGCUUCGGACCAGGCUUCAUUCCCCUCAAA
rnacentral:pre_miRNA from 1 species